rnacentral:misc_RNA from 1 species
AACGCACAUUGCGCCCCUUGGUAUUCCAUGGGGCAUGCCUGUUCGAGCGUCAUUUGUACCCUCAAGCUUUGCUUGGUGUUGGGUGUUUGUCCUGUAUUGGACUCGCCUUAAAGUAAUUGGCAGCCGGCGUAUUGGCCUUGGAGCGCAGCACAAUUUGCGCUUUCAGUCAGUAUAUGUUGGCGUCCAUAAGCCUUUCUCACUUUUGACCUCGGAUCAGGUAGGGAUACCCGCUGAACUUAA